rnacentral:rRNA from 1 species
GACGUAGGUGGCGAACGUUAUCCGGAAUUAUUGGGCGUAAAGGGUGCGUAGAUGGCUUGAUAAGUUAGCAGUGGAAAAAUCGAGGCUCAACCUCGUGGAAGCUGGUAAUACUGUCAGGCUCGAGUGCAGGAGAGGUUAACGGAACUCCCAUGUGGAGCGGUAAAAAUGUGUAGAUAUAUGGAAGAACACCAAUAACGGCGAAGGCAGUUAACCUAUUCUGUUUACUGACAUUUGAGGCACGAAAGCGUGGGAGCAAAACGGG